CCGAUUGUCACCCGCUGUCACCCAAUCUCACCUCUGUCACCCGCUGUCGCCCUCUAUCACUGAUUGUCGCCUGCUGUCACCCGCUGUCACCUUGAUCACCUUCUGUCACCUACUGACACCUUUUGUCACCUGCUGUCACCUUCUGCUCUCUACUGUCACCUCUGUCACCUCUGUCACCUGCUGUCACCGAUUGUCACCUCUGUCACCCACUGUUAUCUUCUGUCACCUGCUGUCACCUUUUAUCUCCUACUCCCACCCACUGUCACCUUCUGUCACUUCUGUCACCAGCUGUUACCUCUAGCACCUCCUGCCACCUUUGGUUGUCUUCUUUCACCGUUUGUCACCUUCUGUCACCUUUUGUCACCUCCUGUCACCCCCCAUCACCCACGGACACCCUUGUCCUGUGUCACCCUGGGACGUUGUCCCCUCACGUUUCCCGCCAUUUUCUCCCCUCACGUUUCCCGCCAUUUUUCUCUUCAUGUUUCCCGCCCUUUUCUCCCCUCACGUUUCCCACCCUUUUCCCCUCACAUUUCCACACUUUUCUCCCCUUUUUUUUAAUAAUUUUUUUCCUCUCAUUUCCCAUCCUUUUCCCUCAAAUUUAUUUCCCUUUUUGCCUUCCAUUUCUGGCCUUUUUCCCCUCACGUUUCCCUCCUUUUCCUCCCCUUGCAUUUCCUACUCGUUUUUCCCUUACAUUUCUCAGUCUUUGCAUCUCACAUUUCUCACUAUUUUUCCCCUAAUAUUUCCUACGAAUUUUUCCCUUUUCAUUUCCUUUGUCUUUGUUGUUUCAUUUCCCACUCAAUUUCCCCUCACGUUUCCCGCCCUUUUCCCCCCUCAUCCGUUCCCGCCAUUUUUUCCUUCAGAUUUUCCCCUUUUUUCCCCUCACAUUUCCCACCUUUUUUUAUAACUUUUCUUCCUCUUAUUUCCCAUCUUUUUCUCUCAAAUUUACUUCCCUUUUUGCCUUCCAUUUUUCACCUUUUUCCCCUCACAUUUCCCGCCCUUUUCCCCCCUCAUCCUUUCCCGCCAUAUUUUCCCUCAGAUUUCCCCCCUUUUUCCCCUCACAUUCUCCAUCUUUUCUUCUCUUGUUUCAUAACUUUUCUUCCUCUCAUUUCCCAUCCUUUUCACUCAAUUUUACUUUCCUUUUUGCCUUCCAUUUUUCACCUUUUUCCCCUCACAUUUCUCACUCUUUUCUCCCCUCACGAUCCCCACCAUUUUAUUCACUCACAUUGCCCUCCCUUUUUCCCCUCACAUUUCCACCCUUUCUCCCCUUUUUUUUAUAACUUUUCUUCCUCUUAUUUCCCAUCCUUUUCCCUCAAAUUUAUUUCCCUUUUUGCCUUCCAUUUUUCACCUUUUUCCCCUCACGUUUCCCGCUCUUUUCUCCCCUCACAUUUUCUACCCUUUUUCCCCCCAUAUUUCCCACAUUUUUUCCCUCACGUUUCCCACCUUUUCUGCCCUUGUUUUAUACCUUUUCUUUCUCUCAUUUCCCAUCCUUUUCGCUCAAGUUUAUUGUCCUUUUUGCCUUCCAUUUUUUCUCCCCUCACAUUUCCCUCCCUUUUCCCCCCUCAUGUUUCCCACUCUUUUUCUCCCCUCACAUUUCCCACCAAUUUUUCCCUCACAUUUCUCACUCUUUGCCUCUCACAUUUCUCUCACUUUUUCCUCUCACAUUUCCCACAUUUUUUGCCCUCACACUUCCCACCAAUUCUUCCCCCAUGCCCUUUUCCCCUCACAUUUUUCACCCUUUUUUCCUCUAAGGUUUUCUGCGACUUCCAUUUUUGCAUUUCCCGCCAUUUUUUUCCCCUCAAGUUUUACGCCGUUCUUUUUCUCACAUUUUUUCACACUUUUCCUCCUAAUGUUUCCCACCAAUUUUUCCCUUUUCAUUUCUUUUUGCUUUGUUGUCUCGUUUCCCACCCAAUUUCCCCUCACAUUUUCCACUCUUUGCCCCUCAUGUUUCUCGCUUUUUCUCCCCUCGUGUUUCCC
rnacentral:lncRNA from 1 species